GUUCAAAGCAUUUAGCAAUUAAGGAGACAUAAUGUAGUCAUUCAAGGAAGAGUGACUGCCACAGAAGAUAACUCUAAUAAUUUAUGGAGUCACUUUGAAAGUAAUCAUUGUCAUUCUCAGUUGGAAACAUGUUCAUUGGUACAACAAAUUCCCAGUGCAGCAGAGAGAAAUGGUCUUUAAUAUUGUUAAGACACUGGGUUUGGGAAGCAAAUUCCACGGUCUCUGGUGAUUUUUGGCAUGAUGGUAAUAGUUACAGUCAAAUAAUCUUCUUUCUAAAGAAAAUAGAACAUUUAUCUUUAACAUCUACUACUUCCUUUUAAAAUAAUCCAUGGAAGAUUUUCUUCUUCAGCUUUUUCAAGAUUGAGAAGUCUGAUAUGAAACUGAUAAAAUGUUGGCAGUUGAUAACUUCACAGAAAUUCUUCAAUAUUUGGAAAACUACAGAAUAUCUAUUAUUGUUGAGGUUUUGGUGUGUAUUUUGAACUGCUGAAUAUGGGAACAAAUAUGACAAGGAAGAGUAGUGCUGGAUGGGCUGUGUCAUCUUCCAGUGCUCAAAGGAAAACAGAGAUAAUAAAGGUUUGCUGUAGGUUACCACUGCUGCUGGAAACCCCUUUAGAAUCAUAUUCAUGAUUUCUGCAUAGCUAGCAGCUAUGGAAGUAUUUUGCUCCAAAAUAUAUUAUUGAUUAUAUUUUAAUGUUCUUAAGGGUAAUCCCAUAAAUUUCAAUUUCUGUGUUGGGUUUUUACCUCUGUCCAUCAUGAGACUCUUGUAAAUGGCUCUGAAAUCAAAUACUGCAGCCUAAGUACCAUGUAACAGUCCAAAACAUUCCACUACAGUCUCUGUUAAUGUCAUGUAGAGGAGCUUAUGAAGUCCAAGACAGAAAAGAUUUUCAUGCAAAAGUCCCCAAAAGCCAAACAUGCUGUGUUCAAGUGCUGGAAAUUAAUUUCUGGGAAGGUUAUGUUGUUCACUACUGUUUAAGGAAGCAAAACUCAUUAAUACAUUCAAGCAUGGGAACUAAGAAUUCCCAAGAGACAACAGAUUGUUUUGGAAAUAGAGGAAAUAUUUUGUUUCACAUUAUAAUCUAGAUUCAGUUCCUUUAUGUUGGUAUUUUUCUGUCACAAAAUAAUGAGAAAAGUUAAAGUGAAACAUUUUCAAUCCUGGGAAUUUCACAAAACUGAAAAAAUUAAAGGACAGGUAGGAAAACAAAGAAUUCUUUCUCCUGCAAUCAAUUUCUCCAGGUUUAAACAGCUGCAGUUCAGGUUAUGAACAAGACUGUUUUCUCACUGAAUUAAGCUAAGUGUCAAUUGCUAACAGACAGAGAGCACUGACACAGUAAUACUGUGGUAAUAAAAAAUUAUUAAUUUCACCUGUCUGUUGUAUGAGAAAAUUUAAUAACCUCUGUCCUCAUUGCUUCUGUUUCUUCUGGAAUGUUUUACUACUAUACUAAGUUCAUAAAACAACAAUUCACAAUUGGAAUAGGCAAAAUGCAGUGCAAAUGUGCAGUCAAUUUGAUGACAAACAUCUUGGAAAAUAGGACUCUACCAUCUCCUAUCAUCUAGCUCCUUUAGACUAAAACCACCCGUAAAAUGCAUCUUGCUGUAGCUGAACUGAACUCAGUAAUUUGAUCAGGUUUUCCAGUCUUGGGUUUCUGCCUAUUUACAGUAAAACAAAGGGAGGUAGUUAUGGCUGAUUCUUGAUACUAUAUUAGCCAGAAGGAAAAAAAAAAUCUGACUUCUUUGGAA